rnacentral:rRNA from 1 species
CUCAGUUCGGAUUGCAGGCUGCAACUCGCCUGCAUGAAGUCGGAAUUGCUAAUAAUCGCGGAUCAGCAUGCCGCGGUGAAUACGUUCCCGGGCCUUGUACACACCGCCCGUCACACCAUGAGAGCCGGUAACACCCGAAGUCAGUAGUCUAACCGCAAGGGGACGCUGCCGAAGGUGGGGCUGGUGAUUGGGGUGAAGUCGUAACAAGGUAGC